rnacentral:rRNA from 1 species
UACGUAGGGGGCAAGCGUUGUCCGGAAUCAUUGGGCGUAAAGAGCGUGUAGGCGGCCCGGUAAGUCCGCUGUGAAAGUCCAGGGCUCAACCCUGGGAUGCCGGUGGAUACUGUCGGGCUCGAGUCCGGAAGAGGAGUGUGGAAUUCCUGGUGUAGCGGUGAAAUGCGCAGAUAUCAGGAGGAACACCAAUGGCGAAGGCAGCACUCUGGGACGUGACUGACGCUGAGACGCGAAAGCCAGGGGAGCAAACGGG